ensembl:snoRNA
GGGCACUGCCUUGGAACUGGGCCUGUGCCAUGGCCUCAGGGGUUGGGUAGUGGUGCCAGAGCAAAGCCAACUUGUUCAGAUCUAGGGCUGCUUUGAUGCCACCUUGGGAAUGCCUUUGGAAGCAAGUGACAUUC